UGGAGUAGGUUCUAGCUUCCUAAAACCCUCUAUAGUGACCAUGCACAUGGAGUAGGUUCUAGCUUCCUAAAACCCUCUAUAGUGACCAUGGAGUAGGUUCUAGCUUCCUAAAACCCUCUAUAGUGACCAUGGAGUAGGUUCUAGCUUCCUAAAACCCUCUAUAGUGACCAUGGAGUAGGUUCUAGCUUCCUAAACCCUCUAUAGUGACCAUGGAGUAGGUUCUAGCUUCUUAAACCCUCUAUAGUGACCAUGGAGUAGGUUCUAGCUUCCUAAAACCCUCUAUAGUGACCAUGGAGUAGGUUCUAGCUUCCUAAAACCCUUUAUAGUGACCAUGGAGUAGGUUCUAGCUUCUUAAACCCUCUAUAGUGACCAUGGAGUAGGUUCUAGCUUCCUAAAACUCUCUAUAGUGACCAUGGAGUGGGUUCUAGCUUCCUAAAACCCUCUAUAGUGACCAUGGAUUAGAUUCUAGCUUCCUAAAACCCUCUAUAGUGACCAUGGAGUAGGUGCUAGCUUCUUAAACCCUCUAUAGUGACCAUGGAGUAGGUUCUAGCUUCCUAAAACCCUCUAUAGUGACCAUAGAGUAGGUUCUAGCUUCCUAAACCCUCUAUAGUGACCAUGUAGUAGGUUCUAGCUUCCUAAACCCUCUAUAGUGACCAUGGAGUAGGUUCUAGCUUCCUAAAACCCUUUAUAGUGACCAUGGAGUAGGUUCUAGCUUCCUAAACCCUCUAUAGUGACCAUGGAGUAGGUUCUAGCUUCCUAAAACCCUCUAUAGUGACCAAGGACAUGGAGUAGGUUCUAGCUUCCUAAAACCCUCUAUAGUGACCAUGGAGUAGGUUCUAGCUUCCUAAAACUCUCUAUAGUGACCAUGGAGUAGGUUCUAGCUUCCCAAAACCCUCUAUAGUGACCAUGGAGUAGAUUCUAGCUUCCUAAAACCCUCUAUAGUGACCAUGGAGUAGGUUCUAGCUUCUUAAACCCUCUAUAGUGACCAUGGAGUAGGUUCUAGCUUCUUAAACCCUCUAUAGUGACCAUGGAGUAGGUUCUAGCUUCUUAAACCCUCUAUAGUGACCAUGGAGUAGGUUCUAGCUUCCUAAAACCCUCUAUAGUGACCAUGGAGUAGGUUCUAGCUUCCUAAAACCCUCUAUAGUGACCAUGGAGUAGGUUCUAGCUUCCUAAAACCCUCUAUAGUGACCAUGGAGUAGGUUCUAGCUUCUUAAACCCUCUAUAGUGACCAUGGAGUAGGUUCUAGCUUCCUAAAACCCUCUAUAGUGACCAUGGAGUAGGUUCUAGCUUCCUAAAACCCUCUAUAGUGACCAUGGAGUAGGUUCUAGCUUCCUAAAACCCUCUAUAGUGACCAUGGAGUAGGUUCUAGCUUCCUAAAACCCUCUAUAGUGACCAUGGAGUAGGUUCUAGCUUCCUAAACCCUCUAUAGUGACCAUGGA